CUUCCGGCUGCGGUCGUCCAGGUAACCGAGACCGCCGAAAGCGCGGAACUGAAGGUCAAGGGAGACUACUGUAUAUUGUUCCGCCUUUGAAGAAGUUAUUUAACAUCAGCGAGUCUCUUGUUAACUAGCUUGUGCCCUUUUCCUUGUGGAUUUGAAGAAACGGUAUGUUCUUGACAUAAGCCCUCGGCCAAUUACAUGUAUUGCAAGUAUCUUUUCUGACUCUUUAAAAGCUUCCCUUUUGACUAACAUAAUGGAGUCUUUUUAUGAACAGAAGUUCUUAAUUUUUUUAAAAAAAGAUUGUAUGUUUUUAUUCCUUUUUGAGUAAACUCUACACCCAAGGUGGGGCUCGAACUAACGACUUGGCAAUCAAGAGUCACAUGUUCUACCCGCUGAGCCAGACAGGUGCCCCUAGAAGUUCUUAAUUUUAAUAAAUUCCAAUGGGAAUCCAGAAAUGGAAAAAAAAAAAAAAAAAAAAGGAAAAAAAAAGGGACGGUCAACCUGCACCUGGCUGGGACACUAUGAAAACCCUGAAGAGCACUAAGAAGACAGUGUCGCUGCACUCCGAGGGAAAAUGGCAAACGCCUGCCAACAUUGUUUCUACUGAAGCUUCGGACCCCGAUCUCAAAUAACCAACUACUGGGCGUGCGGUCACUGUGUUGCAGUCCACGGCCAUGCUCUGACCUUGUGGGUAAGUCUCGGCCUCUAUUCUACUCUGCAAAUAAGCUUACUCCAUUUGGACCCCAAUACGGGCUCCAGAACCCCAGCUCUGACAACGGGUAAUUAGCAUUGAUGUAUCUAGGGACAUUCAUCCCUUCCGACUAUGAUAUUCCUCAUGCUCAUGAGUUAAAUGAAAUGACAAUAAAAUCUUAG